AUCGCUUCUUGGCCUUUUGGCUAAGAUCAAGUGUAGCAUUUUAGGUUAGAAUGAAUAUGCACCUAAUUUUUAAUGAAAUUAAAUUCAU
rnacentral:snRNA from 1 species